rnacentral:tRNA from 1 species
CCUUCUAUAGCUCAGUUGGUAGAGCGGUAGGACUGUAGAAGUUGUGAUGGUUAUCCAUAGGUCGCUGGUUCGAAUCCGGCUCGAAGGA